UACGUAGGGGGCUAGCGGUUGGUCCGGAAUCAUUGGGCGUAAAGAGCGUGGUAGGCGGCCCGGUAAGUCCGCUGUAAAAGUCAAAGGCUCAACCUUUGAAUGUCAAGUGGAUACUGCCGGGCUAGAGUCCGGAAAGAGGCGAGUGGAACUCCUGGUGUAGCGGGUGGGAAUGCGCAGAUAUCAGGAAGAACACCAACGGCGAAAGGCAGCUCGCUAGGACGGUACUGACGCUGAGACGCGAAAAGCGUGGGG
rnacentral:rRNA from 1 species